rnacentral:lncRNA from 10 species
UUAUGUUUAAAGGAUGGGCAGGGGUGCUCGAGAGGUCCCCAGGAGUUUCCCUCUGGGGAGAGAGGGGCCCACCCCUUCCCAGCAGCCCUCUGAGCCCCCCGAUCGCUUGGCCACAGCCUCUGCCUGGAGAAAGCAUCCCCCUCGGAGAUAUAUGGACAUCAGAAGAAACCUUUCUCUGUCACCAGGACAAAUCCUGUUCUUAUUUGAACCAAGGCCAGUUUUCCUAAUGAAUGCAGGGAGGACAGCACAGAUCAAUGAAACCAGCAGAUAAUCCACAAGACUGUUUCCCAGAGCUGGGAGAUUUCCUUCCCUGCCAACACUUUUCCUGAAAGGUCUUAAGAAUGAGGCAAACAGUUUAAGUCUCUCUUGCACUGUUCUUUUAGUGAAAGAGUUCAAUGAGGAAGGAGAGGAAGUGGAGCAUAUGCUUAGUUUCCAAGCUGGAAAAGUGGCCCAUGGUUAACCAAGACUAGAUGUAAAAGCACAGGUGGCCGCGGGUCCAGGUGAGUCGGUCCUACGAUGGCACGGCUGCUAAUGCCAGCAGAUGCUCCUGUCCUCUCCUUUCAAGACUGACUUCUUCUGGUCUUUCAUUCGUUAAAAUAAAAUUGACAGGGCAUCAUCCAAGAAGCUCUACACUUUCCCUUACUUGGAUUUCAGACUCUAGAUUCUGCUGAGAUUUGAGCUUCAUGGUGAACACAUUCUUGUUGUGCUUGCUGCUGAGGGGUGUGGAGGACAGAGAGAUGGUGAAAUGGCAAAGUGGCUCUUGAGCAUGGGUGGGGGAAGCCCCCACAUAUCUGAGUCAGUGCCACCUGGACACUACCCUUGGAGCAUCCUGCUGAGGUGGCCAUUCAGGUUUUCUUUCCUUUCCUUUUAUUCCACUGUUU